GACAGAGGCCUCAAGCGUUAGGCGGAAUCACUGGGCUUAAAGCGUGUGUAGGCGGAUCGUUAAGUGUCUUGUGAAAUCCCACGGCUCACCCGUGGAACUGCUGGGCAUACUGGCGAUCUUGGGCCAACUAGGGGCAACUGGAACAAGCGGUGGAGCGGUGAAAUGCGUAGAUAUCGAUUGGAACGCCAAAGGUGAAAACAGGUUGCUGGGGUUGUGCCGACGCUGAGACACGAAAGCCAGGGGAGCAAACGGG
rnacentral:rRNA from 1 species